rnacentral:rRNA from 1 species
UACGGGGGGGGCAAGCGUUGUUCGGAAUUACUGGGCGUAAAGGGCUCGUAGGUGGCCAACUAAGUCAGACGUGAAAUCCCUCGGCUUAACCGGGGAACGGCGUCUGAUACUGGAUGGCUUGAGUUCGGGAGAGGGAUGCGGAAUUCCUGGUGUAGCGGUGAAAUGCGCAGAUAUCAGGAGGAACACCAGUGGCGAAGGCGGUGCUCUGGGCCGGAACUGACGCUGAGGAGCGAAAGCGUGGGGAGCAAACAGG